rnacentral:rRNA from 1 species
CAAGUCGAGCGGUAAGGCCCUUUCGGGGGUACACGAGCGGCGAACGGGUGAGUAACACGUGGGUGACCUGCCCUCAGCUCUGGGAUAAGCCCGGGAAACUGGGUCUAAUACUGGAUAUGACUCCACGGUGCAUGUCGUGGGGUGGAAAGCCUUGUGCGGCUGAGGAUGGGCCCGCGGCCUAUCAGCUUGUUGGUGGGGUGAUGGCCUACCAAGGCGACGACGGGUAGCCGGCCUGAGAGGGCGACCGGCCACACUGGGACUGAGACACGGCCCAGACUCCUACGGGAGGCAGCAGUGGGGAAUCUUGCGCAAUGGGCGAAAGCCUGACGCAGCGACGCCGCGUGAGGGAUGACGGCCUUCGGGUUGUAAACCUCUUUCAGCUCCGACGAAGCGGAAGUGACGGUAGGAGCAGAAGAAGCACCGGCCAACUACGUGCCAGCAGCCGCGGUAAUACGUAGGGUGCAAGCGUUGUCCGGAAUUAUUGGGCGUAAAGAGCUCGUAGGCGGUCUGUCGCGUCGGCUGUGAAAACUCGGGGCUCAACUCCGAGCUUGCAGUCGAUACGGGCAGGCUAGAGUUCGGCAGGGGAGACUGGAAUUCCUGGUGUAGCGGUGAAAUGCGCAGAUAUCAGGAGGAACACCGGUGGCGAAGGCGGGUCUCUGGGCCGAUACUGACGCUGAGGAGCGAAAGCGUGGGGAGCGAACAGGAUUAGAUACCCUGGUAGUCCACGCCGUAAACGUUGGGCGCUAGGUGUGGGAUCCCUUCCACGGGUUCCGUGCCGCAGCUAACGCAUUAAGCGCCCCGCCUGGGGAGUACGGCCGCAAGGCUAAAAC